rnacentral:rRNA from 1 species
UGAGGAAUUUUGCGCAAUGGGCGAAAGCCUGACGCAGCGACGCCGCGUGAAUGAUGAAGUCCUUCGGGAUGUAAAGUUCUGUCAGCAGGGACAAUAAUGAUGGUACCUGCAGAGGAAGGCCCGGCAAACUAUGUGCCAGCAGCCGCGGUAAUACAUAGGGGUCAAGCGUUGUCCGGAUUUACUGGGCGUAAAGGGCUCGUAGGCGGUCCACUAAGUCGGAAUUUAAAGGCAGGAGCUCAACUUCUGUUCGAUUUCGAAACUGGUGAACUAGAGAUUUAGAGAGGAAGAUGGAAUUAACAGUGUAGCGGUGAAAUGCGUAGAUAUUGUUAAGAACACCCGUGGCGAAGGCGGUCUUCUGGCUAAAAUCUGACGCUGAGGAGCGAAAGCGUGGGGAGCAAACAGG